rnacentral:rRNA from 1 species
AGUGAGCGCUGGCGGUAGGCCUAACACAUGCAAGUCGAACGGCAGCACAGUAAGAGCUUGCUCUUACGGGUGGCGAGUGGCGGACGGGUGAGGAAUACAUCGGAAUCUACUUUUUCGUGGGGGAUAACGUAGGGAAACUUACGCUAAUACCGCAUACGACCUACGGGUGAAAGCAGGGGAUCUUCGGACCUUGCGCGAUUGAAUGAGCCGAUGUCGGAUUAGCUAGUUGGCGGGGUAAAGGCCCACCAAGGCGACGAUCCGUAGCUGGUCUGAGAGGAUGAUCAGCCACACUGGAACUGAGACACGGUCCAGACUCCUACGGGAGGCAGCAGUGGGGAAUAUUGGACAAUGGGCGCAAGCCUGAUCCAGCCAUACCGCGUGGGUGAAGAAGGCCUUCGGGUUGUAAAGCCCUUUUGUUGGGAAAGAAAGGCAGCAGGUUAAUACCCCGCUGUUCUGACGGUACCCAAAGAAUAAGCACCGGCUAACUUCGUG